CACGGGGGUUGCGAGCGUUGUCCGGAAUUACUAGGCGUAAAGGGCAGGCAGUCGGAUCCAUAAGUUUAUCGUUUAAGGCGUCGGCUUAACCGGCGUAGGGCGGUAGAUACUGUGGAUCUGGAACGCGGUUGGGGAAGACAGAAUUCCUGGUGUAGCGGUGGAAUGCGCAGAGAUCAGGAGGAAUACCGAAGGCGAAGGCAGUCUUCCAAGUCGUUAUUGACGCUCAACUGCGAAGGUGUGGGUAUCAAACAGGAUUAGAUACCCCGGUAGUCCCUGAGCGGGCU
rnacentral:rRNA from 1 species